UACCGAGGUCUCAAGCGUUGUUCGGAUUCAUUGGGCGUAAAGGGUGCGUAGGCGGCGCGGUAAGUCGGGUGUGAAAUCUCGGAGCUUAACUCCGAAACUGCAUUCGAUACUGCCGUGCUUGAGGUCUGGAGAGGAGACUGGAAUUUACGGUGUAGCGGUGAAAUGCGUAGAUAUCGUAAGGAAGACCAGUGGCGAAGGCGGGUCUCUGGGCCGAUACUGACGCUGAGGAGCGAAAGCGUGGGGAGCGAACAGG
rnacentral:rRNA from 1 species